rnacentral:rRNA from 1 species
GAUGAACGCUAGCUACAGGCUUAACACAUGCAAGUCGAGGGGAAACGAUAUUGGAAGCUUGCUUCUGAUAGGCGUCGACCGGCGCACGGGUGAGUAACGCGUAUCCAACCUGCCCAUCACUUGGGGAUAACCUUGUGAAAGUAAGACUAAUACCCAAUGACGUCUCUAGAAGACAUCUGAAAGAGAUUAAAGAUUUAUCGGUGAUGGAUGGGGAUGCGUCUGAUUAGCUUGUUGGCGGGGUAACGGCCCACCAAGGCGACGAUCAGUAGGGGUUCUGAGAGGAAGGUCCCCCACAUUGGAACUGAGACACGGUCCAAAACUCCUACGGGAGGCAGCAGUGAGGAAUAUUGGUCAAUGGACGAGAGUCUGAACCAGCCAAGUAGCGUGCAGGAUGACGGCCCUAUGGGUUGUAAACUGCUUUUAUAAGGGAAUAAAGUGGGAGUCGUGACUCUUUUUGCAUGUACCUUAUGAAUAAGGACCGGCUAAUUCCGUGCCAGCAGCC